UUAAAAGCUUCAUGAACCGCUGUUUUUUUUUGUUUCCCUCAAUGACUCAAUCCCUUCUUCCCAACCCUUCUGUUUCACCCCAAACCCUUUUUCUCUUUCAUCUGCUUCGGGUCUUCUUCUCUCUGCUUCCUUCUUGUCUAUCAUAUUCAUCAUCGUUUUUGAAGCAAAUGCGAAUUGGAGAUUGGCGUUUCUUAAUUGGAAAUUGGGUGUAUGAAUUGGAGAUAAGGAGAAAUUGACAAUUAGCGUUUCUGAAUUGGCGAGAAGAACAAGAAGAAGAGUGAUGCCGCAGAAAAGUCUACAGCGGGACUUCAAUAUCAUCAAAAGCAUGCUCGUAGAGGAUAUGCUCGACUUGAGAAAGAUGUGAUCACAAUUUACAUCUAUGUGUCAUCAAUUGGCCGAGCGCAACUGUGGAAUUUUAAUAAAGAACCGACUGAAGGAAAUAAUACCCUUGGUCCAAGUAUGCAUUUAAUGGUAAGUCUAAUAAAUGCGGUUUAGUAUUAAUUAUACAAGUUAAAUAAUUCAGUGAGAUCAAGUGAACCGUAUGCCUAGCUAGAGGCCGCUUCAGUUCAAGUGGAUUAAUGAUAUUAAUCCACAUCUUACUCUUGACUGAACUCGUAGGGUCACACAAACAGUACGUAAACGGAUCAAGUAUUUAAUGGAAUUAAAUACUCCAUCUAUGGAUAUUCGGAAUCGACGGACCUUGGUUUCAGUGGGAGCUGAGAUCGUCAC